GUGCCAGCAGCCGCGGUAAUACGUAGGUGGCAAGCGUUGUCCGGAAUUAUUGGGCGUAAAGCGCGCGCAGGCGGUCCUUUAAGUCUGAUGUGAAAGCCCACGGCUCAACCGUGGAGGGUCAUUGGAAACUGGAGGACUUGAGUGCAGAAGAGGAAAGUGGAAUUCCAUGUGUAGCGGUGAAAUGCGUAGAGAUGUGGAGGAACACCAGUGGCGAAGGCGACUUUCUGGUCUGUAACUGACGCUGAGGCGCGAAAGCGUGGGGAGCAAACAGGAUUAGAUACCCUGGUAGUCC
rnacentral:rRNA from 1 species